rnacentral:piRNA from 1 species
UAGGAUUCUUGACUUGAGCAGUUCACCUGG